GGAGCAGCAGAUGACCGGAGGAGGGACGCGUUUCGAGGAAAACCAGACCACAUCUCUAUUCCAGUCUCAUUUCUAAAAACCUGACUUUGACGCAUAUUCAGAGUUUGCCUUGUUCAGUGAAGUGUUUAUCAGAGGAGACUGUUUCUGGAGGCAGACUGAGCGGAUUGCGGCAUUCAAAGAGUCCUGAGUGAUCGGAGCUCAGCAGCAGCAUCACAUUGCAUGAAAUGCGUCACCGUGAUCCAGUUUUCCCAUUUACAAAUAUCGGCUCUGCGCUCACGGACGGUUCCCCGCACUGAGCAUUUAUCAGGCAACUUCACUUCCUGUCCUGGUGUUUUCCCGACGUUGUGAUUGUCGUCCCCGCCCCUCAUUGUUUCCACCUGUGCCCCAUUACCUCCUGUAUAAUAUUCUGCAUCUUCCCCUGUCCUGUGCCAGAUCGCUGUGUCUUGUCUGUUGUGUACGUGCCUCCAGUCAAUGUCUCCAGAGCCAAGUACUACGUUUGUUACUUUUGUUUGUUACUUACUCGAAUAAAAAGCCUCCUUUUGUUGCAAA